CUGUACUCGAACUGAAUGGUA
rnacentral:siRNA from 1 species